AAGGGAGACCUAAUUCAGGUAGGAGACGAAAAAAAAGUAGCCCCAACCAAGAAUCAAUCCCAAAAGGUCGGAGCGAGGCGAAAUUGGCUUUCAAACUAGGUUCUGGGUUCACACAAGACCUGAAUCAGGAACAAGGGCUAUUAGCUCAGGUGGUUAGAGCGCACCCCUGAUAAGGGUGAGGUCCCUGGUUCGAGUCCAGGAUGGCCCACCUGCACAGGUGGCAAAAACAAGAGAAGCUCCGAAUCAGCACCUUAUCUUACUUACAUAGUAAGAGAGAAUGCUGGCUCUGAGUAAAGAGUCCAGAGGAACCUUGAAAACUGCAUAGAGCUAGGUGAAAAAGCCAAAAAAGAAGACCGCAA
rnacentral:tRNA from 1 species